rnacentral:rRNA from 1 species
GAUGAACGCUGGCGGCGUGCCUAAUACAUGCAAGUCGAGCGAACGGACGAGAAGCUUGCUUCUCUGAUGUUAGCGGCGGACGGGUGAGUAACACGUGUAUAACCUACCUAUAAGACUGGGAUAACUUCGGGAAACCGGAGCUAAUACCGGAUAAUAUUUUGAACCGCAUGGUUCAAAAGUAAAAGACGGUCUUGCUGUCACUUAUAGAUGGAUCCGCGCUGCAUUAGCUAGUUGGUAAGGUAACGGCUUACCAAGGCAACGAUGCAUAGCCGACCUGAGAGGGUGACCGGCCACACUGGAACUGAGACACGGUCCAGACUCCUACGGGAGGCAGCAGUAGGGAAUCUUCCGCAAUGGGCGAAAGCCUGACGGAGCAACGCCGCGUGAGUGAUGAAGGUCUUCGGAUCGUAAAACUCUGUUAUUAGGGAAGAACAUAUGUGUAAGUAACUGUGCACAUCUUGACGGUACCUAAUCAGAAAGCCACGGCUAACUACGUG